GGGGUUGUGGCUCAAUGGUAGAGCACUUGCCUACUACAUGUGUGAGGCACUGGGUUUGAUUCUCAGCACCACCU
rnacentral:tRNA from 1 species